rnacentral:sRNA from 1 species
UACGUUUUACAAUCAACUUAAAUCGACGC